ensembl:lncRNA
AUUUGAAAAUCAACACAACUGUUCCUGAAGCCUUGAAUCCUGAUCAAGCUCUGCUACAAGCUCUUCACAACUCUACAAUUUGAAGUCCACUGGAGGAACGUGGCAGUUUCAGCAGCUGUUACUUCCAUCAGGACCAACACAAACUACUGAAAACAAAUUGAAAACAACACAAACUGUUUUUGUUGUUUUCAGGGGUCAAGAAUAUACAUACACACCUUAAAAUAAAUAUAUAAAAACUGUUUAUUCAUUUAUUUUAUGAUGAGAGAAAAAUAAAAAAUAUGUGCAGCAGUCAAAUGGCAUUAAUGAUUAAAAAUCACUAUAUAAAUAUUGCCAUAUAAAUAUAAAUCAAUAUCAAUCUUGCUAAACUUCUUUUCAGCCUCUCCAUGUUUCUUGUUUACAAAAAUUAAAGUUUCUUCAAGUUGUUCACAACCUCAAUUCUCUGUUUGUCAUUGGUGUCUGUAAUAACAAAAUCAGGACAUGUUAAAAACACAAUUAAUUACAUAAUAUGGACAGAUCUGUUCUUUUUGCUUUGUUUGGUCAGCUACUGGACAUUUAACAAGGAUAAUAAACAAAUACUAAUGUGAAC